GACGAACGCUGGCGGCGUGCUUAACACAUGCAAGUCGAACGGAAAGGUCCUGCUUUUGUGGGGUGCUCGAGUGGCGAACGGGUGAGUAACACGUGAGUAACCUGCCCUUGACUUUGGGAUAACUUCAGGAAACUGGGGCUAAUACCGGAUAGGAGCUCCUGCUGCAUGGUGGGGGUUGGAAAGUUUCGGCGGUUGGGGAUGGACUCGCGGCUUAUCAGCUUGUUGGUGGGGUAGUGGCUUACCAAGGCUUUGACGGGUAGCCGGCCUGAGAGGGUGACCGGCCACAUUGGGACUGAGAUACGGCCCAGACUCCUACGGGAGGCAGCAGUGGGGAAUAUUGCACAAUGGGCGGAAGCCUGAUGCAGCAACGCCGCGUGCGGGAUGACGGCCUUUGGGUUGUAAACCGCUUUCGCCUGUGACGAAGCGUGAGUGACGGUAAUGGGUAAAGAAGCACCGGCUAACUACGUG
rnacentral:rRNA from 1 species